rnacentral:rRNA from 1 species
AUUGAACGCUGGCGGCAGGCUUAACACAUGCAAGUCGAGCGAGCGGCGGACGGGUGAGUAAUGUCUGGGAAACUGCCUGAUGGAGGGGGCUAACUACUGGAAACGGUAGCUAAUACCGCAUACCAUCAGAUGUGCCCAGAUGGGAUUAGCUAGUAGGUGGGGUAAUGGCUCACCUAGGCGACGAUCCCUAGCUGGUCUGAGAGGGUGACCAGCCACACUGGAACUGAGCCACAGGCCAGACGCCUACGGGAGGCAGCAGUAGAGAAUAAUGCACAAUGGGCGCAAGCCUGAUGCAGCCAUGACGCGUGUGUGAAGAAGGCCUGCGGGUUGUAAAGCACUUUCAGCGAGGAGGCGUUACGCGCAGAAGAAGCACCGGCUAACUCCGUGCCAGCCGCCGCGGUAAUAC